rnacentral:tRNA from 1 species
GCCCUGGUGGCGGAAUCGGCAGACGCGCACGCUUGAGGGGUGUGUCCUUUCGGGGGUGGAGGUUCAAAUCCUCUCCAGGGCA